GACGAACGCUGUCGGCGUGCCUAAUACAUGCAAGUAGAACGCUGAAGGAGGAGCUUGCUCUUCUGGAUGAGUUGCGAACGGGUGAGUAACGCGUAGGUAACCUGCCUGGUAGCGGGGGAUAACUAUUGGAAACGAUAGCUAAUACCGCAUAACAGUAGAUGUUGCAUGACAUUUGCUUAAAAGGUGCAAUUGCACCACUACCAGAUGGACCUGCGUUGUAUUAGCUAGUUGGUGGGGUAACGGCUCACCAAGGCGACGAUACAUAGCCGACCUGAGAGGGUGAUCGGCCACACUGGGACUGAGACACGGCCCAGACUCCUACGGGAGGCAGCAGUAGGGAAUCUUCGGCAAUGGACGGAAGUCUGACCGAGCAACGCCGCGUGAGUGAAGAAGGUUUUCGGAUCGUAAAGCUCUGUUGUAAGAGAAGAACGAGUGUGAGAGUGGAAAGUUCACACUGUGACGGUAUCUUACCAGAAAGGGACGGCUAACUACGUG
rnacentral:rRNA from 1 species